GGGGGUGACUGGGAGAGAAAGAACAGGUUGAAGGUGUAUGAAGGGUUGUUCUGCAUGUCCACUCGUAACUUCAAGAAAGCAGCAGAUCUUUUCCUUGAUUCUAUCUCAACUUUUACCACAUAUGAGCUUUUCCCCUAUGAUACUUUCAUAUUUUAUACUGUCCUUACGAGCAUCAUUACCUUGGACCGGGUUUCCUUGAAACAAAAGGUAGUCAAUAUGUACUCCCUCUAAUAUCCUUGUUUGCUGUAUGAGGAAUUUUCUAACUUCAAAAUUUGUGUUCCCUUGGAAUAUCUGGGAUGUUACUGUGAUGAAUGUACUUGCAAAUUCAUUUUUAUCACGUAUAUGUUGCAGGUCGUGGAUGCGCCAGAGAUCUUGACUGUAAUUGGAAAGAUUCCAUAUCUGUCCGAGUUUAUGAACUCGUUAUAUGAUUGUCAAUACAAGUCAUUUUUCUCAGCAUUUGGUAAGCUUUUCCAUUGUUUAUUUUUUCUUUUCGUAUGUGAAGUGUGUCUUCGUAGUUUGCAAAGGUCUGCACACAAAAGUGUAUGUAGAUUAUGUCUGAUGGGGGUCCCUGAUGCAUUUUCUUGAGAAUUUGAUUGAGAAUAGUGGUAUUUGGCUAUUUGCAAGGGCUUGAUUACUGAUAAUCCAGUUUGGAGGUUUUGAUUCUCAGAUGACAGUGUUUCCUUUUUGGAGUAACUUGAUAGUGAAAUAGGUUACCACUGUUGUAUAGAAACGUACCCCCUUUUCUUGUCUGAAAGUCUUUUGAAUAUCAGCACGAAUGUAUGGGGUCUUAGUGCUCUUUAUUAGUCAUGCAAGUAGUUAGCUUGAUUGGACUAAAGGGAUGUUCUUUCUGGCACAUAUUAAAACAGUAAAAAAGAUGCUAUUUCCGCUCCUGAAACUUGAAACUUUUCGAAUGGAUAAUAGUUCUUUUCCAAUUGCAUAGAAAGUAAUAUCUCGUCAUCUUUGUUAAGUUUGACAGGGAGUUUGUUUGGGUUAGGAGUUGGGGUAGGUGGGUGGACUUGUAAUUCUCAUUGCAGUUAGUCUUAGCUUGCAUAGUCUGCUCACUUCUCUUUGUAAUAAUAGCUAAUAAAUCUUACAUUGAGUUCUCUUCAGAGAACUAACUCAAAUUUGUAGGGCAGUUACAUUCACUUGAAUUUCCCAACUGAUUAUUGGAGAUGGGGGCAAUGAGAGACCAAUUGACCUUUGCGCACACACAAAAAAGAUUGAUACCUUUAUAAAAAAAUUUGACAAACCUAAAUGUGUGUUUAUAGACAGGCGUUAAAAUGUGAUCUGUAAGUAUCGAGUUACAGGAGAGAUAAACAUGCUAUAUCUGUCAUAUACUCGUGAUUUGUGAUUUACCUAUAUGUUGAUUGCUAGGGCCAUGUAUGUGGGCCAUGAAAUGAUAUAUCAGUUGCAGAAUGGUUGAAUUUUACCUUAAUGUGUUUUCAGCUGGCUUGAUGGAGCAUAUUAAAUUGGAUCGUUACUUGCAACCACACUUCAGAUAUUAUAUGAGGGAGGUCAGAACAGUUGUGUAUUCCCAGUUCCUGGAGUCCUACAAGAGUGUUACUAUUGAGGCCAUGGCCAAGGCUUUUGGGGUGUCUGAGGAUUUCAUCGACUUGUGAGUGCUGCUAUUUCAUGCUUAGAUAAUGGACUGUGUAUUCACUAUAAAACGUGUAACAUAAUUGAACUUUUCUGUUUUACUUCAGGGAACUAUCUCGGUUCAUUGCAGCUGGGAAGUUGCAUUGCAAGAUUGAUAAAGUAGCAGGAGUAUUGGAAACUAAUCGUCCUGAUGCAAAGAAUGCUCUUUAUCAGGCAACUAUCAAGCAAGGGGACUUCUUGUUGAAUCGCAUUCAAAAGCUUUCUCGUGUCAUUGAUCUCUGAAGCCGUUAAACCGUGCGUUGUACUUGUUUUCUCUUCAACUCUCUGUAGCUCUAAUAUUGAUAUAUUCUGCCUUUUCAUAUUGAACUCUUGGGGGAGUAUUAUUUUAGUAAUUUUCUGAAAUCAAAGAGAUUUUCUGUGUUGGGAUAGCUCUUAUAUUUGGACAAGCAUUGCAUCUUUUGAAAUGUUACUUCCUAUUUAAGUUUGUGCUCAGCUGAUGCUGAAAUUGACUUGAGAAUUCUAACUAGUGAAGCUAAAGAAUGCAUUUAGGGGGCCGUUUAGUAGUUAGUUAGAGUUAAUUGAUACAUGGAUUAGUUAGGAGAGAAUUUAUAUGUAUCAUUUAUGGAGGAUUAAUUAGGUAAGGUUUUAGUUAUUUGAUUUGCGUAAAACAAUGCAUAAGUUUAUUUGUAAUUUAUACAUGCAUUAGUUAGUGGGUUUUUUAAAUUAUAGACUAAACAUUUUAUUAGUUUUAUACAUUAAUUUACCACCUAAUUAAAUAUCAAAAUGUGACACUCUGUUCUGUUUUUAAUCUUGAAAGUAGAAUAUCAUUUAUACAUAUUUUAAUGGGAAUUUAUACUAAGAAUAGGAUCGAUAAGGUUUUAAUAAUUUAAGUUGAACCUUUUUAGAAGUUACACUUUGAAAGUUUGCUCAUAAUUGUGUAUAAUAAACUGUUUUAACAUGUUUGUGUGAAUAAAUAAUUACUUGAUCAACACGUGAUAGUGCGUAAAUGAAAAAAAGUAAUCAUACUCUUCAAUUUGUAAGAGAGGGUACAGAAAUGUUGGUAACUAUACAUGGGUAAAUAAAAAAGAAUUCAUUUUUUUUACAUUUUUUAUUUUUAGUCUUUGUAAUUUAUUUUUUGAGAUAUUCUUUUUAAUGGAAAAUGAUCAAGAAUAUCCUUUUAACUAAGAGAAAUUGAACAAAAAUACUUUCAGUUAAUAGUUUGAUCUAAAAAUGCUUUUGCAAUCAAUAUUUUGAUCUAAAAUAUCCUUAUCAUCAAUACUAUGGUCCAAAAGUAUCCUUACCAUCAAUACUUUGAUUAAAAUAUGCUUAUAUUAUUACUUAAUUAGUCAAAAAUGCCCUUUUCCUACUUUUCUUGCACCGUCGAAACAACCAUAAUUUCCUCAAAAAAACAACAAAAAAGAAAAGACAACGAAAUAAGAGGGAUAAUGCACAAGUACCCUCUCAAUUUAUGUCCGAAAUUUCAAAAACACACUUAUACUAUAGAUUGAGUGGGUACGUGUGCAUUAUCUCCGUAUAUAUAUAUAUAUACACUCAUGAAAAAUUAAUUCUCAUUGAAUAAUAGUAUCAUAUAUUUAUUUUCCUAGUAUUUGGAUAUCUCAAAUCUAACUAUUCCACUUGUUUUUGGAAGAAAACCAAUAUUAAGAGUUCAUUGGCCAUGCAAUUGAGAUUUCAAAUUUGAAUCAGUGUCUGUUUUAUGAAAUUUGAAAGAAAAAAAAUUCAACUAUGAUUUCAAAUAACAAAUUUACCUUGAAAAUAAAAUUUCAUUUCUAGGUUUGUAGUUUCACUUUUUUAUAAAUUUAAAGCUUGACACAUGAGCUAUACAUACAAAAAAGGCUCAUAAUUUUAAUUUUGCAAAAGAGAUCCGACCUCCACAUGAAGAAAUGAUUUAUAGAAUGUGAGCGAUUAUAUUAUAAAAAUUAGUUACUAUUAGUGUUGAUUUAUUGAAUCAAUGGAUAUUUAUAAAAUUAUGUAAAAUUUUGUAAUAAUAAAUAAUCAGAAACAUUUAUCUACAAGAAACAUGAAAAAAAUAUUAUUUGUUAAUGUUGUGCUUUGUGAUAUUUUAAUAUCUUACUUAUAAGGAAUAAUUACUAAACUAUACAACUUUACUUUACCUAUUUCCAAUAUUUCUCUACUCUUUUAUUAAAAUUAAAAAAUCCCUUUUAUACACCCAAUGAUACUUGACUUAAUUUUUUACAUUGGAAAUCAAAACUUGAACUUACCCAUCCCCAAAAAUUUCGCCCAAAUUCCCCCACCCCCCUUAAAAUUUUCGGAUAAAUUUUAAAACUAAAUUUGAAAUUCAAAAAAAUUCAAUCCCUAUUCUUCCGCUUUAGAGCUUCUCAAGUAAAUUUUCUUCGAUUCUUUUAAAAAAAAUUUGUGUAUGUAAUAUUCUGCAUUUUCUAAAAAAAUUAUAGUUUUCUUUCCAGAAUCGAAAGUUUCGAAGAUUUGAGUUCUAAAUCGUUCCAUGACCCUAACAAGAUCGAAAUAACAAUCCUUAUUCAUCUGAUUUAGAGUUCAGAAUUUGUUUAUCAUCUUCUCCAGUAAGUUUACUUUCUUUCUUUUUUUGCAUUUCUUGUGUAUCUAAUGUUCUUCCUUUUCUAAAAAAUUUAUUAAUUUUUUCCAGAAGCGAAAGUUUUGAAGAUUUGAGUUCUAAAUCAUUGCAUGACUCUAUAAUCAUGACAAAUCCAAGUUCUAGCAAGAGAUCUUCUUCAAAGAAUAGACAUUCAUCAACUUCAAAAUACCCAAAACCCCCAAAGAAAAGGGGUAGAAAGGCGGCACCUCCGAUCAUUCGACUAACACCACCUACGGUAUCAACAUUUGUAUCCCUAUACAUCCUAAUUUUUGUAUCUUUCGGUAGUUGGAUGAUUCUUUUUUUUUAAAGUAUCGUUUAUUUCAUUGCACUCAUGAAACACAGAAUAUUGUUGAUACUUUUAUGUCUUACACAUUCCUUAAUAUUUCAUAGAUAAAAUUUUAAGUAUCGAUUUAUAAUUUUUUGAUACUUUAUUUUUUUUUGUAUAUAUGUAUAUAACACAAAUAAAAUAUUUAGAUAUUUGUGUAUCUAUUUUUUUUUUGUAUAUUUAUAUACUUAUGAAAAAUUAAUUCUGGAUAAUAAUAUCAUAUAUUUAUUUUCCUAGUAUUUGGAUAUCUCAAAUCUAACUAUUCCACUUUUUCUUUUUGGAAGAAAACCAAUUUUAAGAGUUCAUUGGCCAUGCAGUUAGACACUAAUCCUUUAAUUUUUGGUAUUAAAAAAAUAAUUUCACCUGUCUAUUAAUAAUAAUGUUUAAUCAAAAUUAAACAAGAAAAAAUAGAUAAUUAUAUUCAUUUAGUGUGGUGGAAUUUCAUAUUCUAUAGUUAUUACAAGUUGCAACCUUUAGAAUUUCUAUUUAAUAUUAAUUACUUCUUUCAAUUUAUCAACUUGGACCAUAUUAACUAAAAAUAAUUUUUCCUUUAUGCAUUUUUUUGAGAAUUUUUUCAAAAUGUCAAUUCUUUGAUAUUUAAUAGGACUCCUUAGCCAUGUUUUUAAUAUUUAUUUAAAAUGUAAAUAUUUUAAUUUGUUAUGUAUCUAAUUUAUAUAUCUUUUAAUUUGUUUGAUUUUGCAAAAAUAAAUUAUUCAAUAACAGAAAGGAGAAAAUCAGGGGAGAAAAUAUUAAGAAAAAAAAGGGACAUAUCACUUAAAAUUCUCACCAGUUACUAUUUCAAAGAAAUCCCCUUUCUCAUUCGAGAUUAACAAUUUCAAUCUCUAUUUUCUCCUUUAUCAAAAUCUUAAUUAUGGAUUGUAUUCCGUAGUCAAAAUUGUAUUACAUGACAGCAAAAUAUAUAUUUCUUUUAUUUGUAUUACAAAAAUAUUAGUGAUUGUAUCCCAAUACAAUCUAAUUAUUACAUUUGAAUAUGAUUUAUGAAAGGAACAAGAUUCUGAAAAAAAAUAGCAUACAUGAUGGAAAUAAUACAAUCUGUUGAGGAAGAAUAUAAUAUUCAAAAGGGUUAAUGCACAAGUACUCCCUAUGACCAAAAUCUCAGAGACACCUAAACUAUUCUAAGGUCUUAUUACCCCCUGAACUUUUUUUUUUUUUAAUUUUGUACAUCUUUUGUUUUACAUGGCACACUCCGUGACUCAACGCAAUUGAGGCGCGUGGGAGAUACUUGGAUGUCAUGUAAGCCAAAAAGAUGCACAAAUUUACAAAAAAAAAAGUUCGGGAUAUAUGUGUGUGUGUGUGUAUAAUGAAUAUGAAAGAAAUAGGGAUGAAAGAUUCUGAAAAACAACAUACUUAGUGAAAAUAAUACAAUAUGAAGGAUAUAAUAUUCUAAGAAAACUACAAAUUAAUUCUGAAAAAAAUAGGAUACAUUUAUGCUUAAAAAUACAAAUCCAUUUGGCAUACCUAUUGGAAUGACUACAAACUAAAAAAGAAAUACAAUGUUCUUAAUAAAAAAAAUAAAUACUGAGUAAAAGAAAAACAUUUGACAAUUUUUCUUUAUGAAUAUAAUUCUAAUAUGAAAUCAAUUUUCUCCUCCUCCUCCUCCUUCUCCGAUUUUUUGUUCACCCUCCUCCUCCUCCUCCUCCGAUUUUUUAUUCGCCAAACCCAAAUUUGAACCCGUAUUCACUUGUGCAUUAGUAAUGCUAUAAGCAAAAUUCAAAAUUAUUAAAUAUAAAUGUAUAAAAAAAUCAAACAAUAUAUGAUGUAAAAAUACCAAUGUAGAUUACUACAAUAUACUAAAAUCUCAAAUAUGAAAAUAAAAAAAAUCAAAAAUAAUGUUUAAAAGACCAAAAAUUUGAAAUAUAUAAAGAGGUAAAAUCUCAAAAAAAAUACUUGGUGAAUACGAAAACAAACUCAAAAAAAAUUUGAAUAGUACUGUUUAAAAGAUGGAAAAUCUAAAAUACAAAAUACUGGUGAAUAUGAAAACAAAAUCACAAGAAAUCUCAUAAAAUACUUGUUGACUUCAAAUUUAUCUUAACCAAUUGUGAAAAAUAUAUAGAAUUAAUUGUUUCUUGAACAAAGUUUUGAAAAUUCAAAGAGUUGAUUUUCUUGAAAAAGUAAAUGAGAUAACAAUGGUGAACAAGGUAAAAGAGAGAAAGAAGUGAUUAGGGGUAAAACAUAGAAAGAGGGGUAAUUGGGUAAUGCGAGUAUUUCUUUUACCGGAUAGGGGAGUAAAAAAUUGGUCCAAUGUGGGCCUGAUUUGAGAAAUAAAAUGAAAGGACAUUAAUUAUAUUAUGAUAUAAUUUAUUUACUAAAAUAUUGACAGAUUGAUAUUUUAAUAAUUAUUUUAAAGUGUAGAUGUUUUUAAUAAUUAUAUUAGGGAUUGUGACUAGUUUACUAACUUUUUUUUUUCAAAUCAAAUUUUGUCAUGGGCCCUAUUAUUUAUUAAUUAAAUAAAGGAAAAUUUAGCUAACUAGUCAAAAAUAUUAACUUAUUUAGUGAUAAUAUCCAUACUUAAAUAAUAUUAGUAAACAUGUCAAAAAUGUCAUAAUUUUAAAAAUAAAUAAUUGUUUUGAUAUUAUUAAUAUUUUCUCUCUCAUUAUUUACACAUUUUUUUCUCUCUCAUAUAUUACACAUUUUCCUAUAUUUAUGUAAUUGGAAAGAUAUUAAUGUCAUUUUAAUUUCCCUCUCUCUCUUUUCUUAAGCUUAUUAAUUUCUCUCUCUUAUUUUCUUUCUAAUCAAAUUCCCAGAUUUUUCUCUCUUUUCUUAUUCUUCUUUUCAAUUUCUCUAUCUAACAUUCUUCCAAAUCAAUUCCACAGAUUUUCGAUUCAAUAUAUUAAUAUUUUAUAUUAUUCUCAUUUAAUUUCGUUGCAAAAUUUGAUUUGAAGAUUAACAUUGAUUUGGGUAUUAUUUUUUUUUCAGAUGCCUUAUUUAUUUACAUACUGAUUUUAGUAUUUUUUUAAUUUUUUUUAUUUUGUUGUUGUUCUUAAAACAUUUUUUAGGAUUUGAGACUACAUAAUUCUCUCUUCAAUGGACGUUUUCAAGAGAGUUACUAGAGGUAUUAGACAAAAUAAUCAAAGUUCUUCCGAUUUUCCAUCAUUUAAUUUUUUUUUCACUGAAGAAUUAAACAACAAUAUAGGUUCCGCUUCUAAAUCUAAGGAGGAUAUACGACAGGGAAAAAUGCCUGAAUCUGUCGAUGUGCAAAAUCCCACACAAAUUAAUAACAAUGAAGUUGAAGAAGACCAAUUUGUUGGAGAAGAGUUUUUUUUUUUUUUGCAUGUUCUGUGUCUUGCAUGUUUAAUUUAAUUUGUUUAGUAAUUUUUAAGAUUCAAAAAAAUUCAUGUUACAAUGCGUUUGGAAGUAUAUAUGGAAUUUUUAUUAUGUUAUAGUUAGUAUUUAUUUUUGUAUUUUAUAUAUUUAUUGUAUUUUGUUUCUAUUUUUUUUUUGUGUUAGUUAUGUUUGUGUAUAUUUCAUAAUUUUGAUGUUUUUUGUAUUCAUAAAUUUGGAAGUGUAUAUUGAGUUUUUGUUGUUGUUUUAGUCAGUAUGUAUUUUUGUAUUUCAUUGUUUUAUUAUAUUUUGUAUUCAUAGAUUUGGAAUCGUAUUUCAUUUAUUUAAUUUAUUUUAUAUUCUAUUUUUUUUAUAGUUAUGUCAAUGUACCACAGUUAGUAUUUAUUUUUGUAUUUCAUAGUUUUAUUGUUUUUUGUAUUCAUAAAUUUGGAAGUAUAUAUUAAAUUUUAAUACUGUUUUAGUCAGUAUAUAUUUUUACAAUUAAUAGUUGUAUUCAUUCAAAAAUUAUGUUGCAUUGUUUCUGAAUUUGACAUUUUUUUUUAAUUUGUAUUUAUUCUAAAGGUAUGUCAACUAGUUAUGUAUUUUAUUUAAGAAUGAGUACACCAAAUAUUCAAUUAUUUCUUUUCAAUUUUAUAUUUCAUUCACUUUUUCAUCAUACUAAUUUUUUGUAUUUUAUAUAUUAAUACAAAAUUCAAAAUAAAAACUAGAAUAAAUAGAAAUACAAAUAAAAUACAUAUUGAAAUGAAUACAUACAAGAAUUUCGAAGAAUAAAAUAACUAUAUAGGGAAAAAAAUAUAUAAAAAUACAAAUACAUUUCUUAAAUGACUAUAUAGAUAAAUUUGACAUAUUUAUUGGAAUGAAUAUAAAUUAUAAAAAACAAUAAUAAAUAUAAAUAGAAUAUAUUGUGGAAUGAAUAUAAUUUUAAAAAGGUAAAAAUUUUGGAGAGAAAAAAAAUUAAAUUUUAUUUGAAAAUGUAACUGAUGAGAAAAUUAAGGAUGCUUACCUUUUUUUGAAAUAUUCUCUUCCUUAAUUUUCUCCCUUUUGUUAUUAAAUAAUUAUAUUUUUUAAAUAAAAAUAAAUAAUAAAAAAGAUAUAUAACAAACUAAAAUAUGACAUUUUUACUAAAUAUUGAAAGUAUUGCUAAUGAGCUCUUUUAAAUGCUAAAAUAUUGACAUUUUGAAAAAUUUCCCUUAAAUAAAUUCUUUUGGGCUCCAAAAAGAAGCCCAUAAAAAACGCAAAUAUAACCAAAAAAAAACUUACAACUGAGUUAGCCCAAAAAUGACGGAGUUGAGGUAUAUAACAAGACCCUAAAUAAUAGGGUUUCAUAAUAAAAAACCCUAGUCCUUUCAUCUUCUCUAUCUUCUUCUUGCCGCCACUAAGUAUGUGUUCUUUAGUGCGUGAUAAAAGAUUCUUCAUAGUUGAUAGAUGUGUUGUUUCUUGCUCAACAACCAAUGGUGAAUUCCUUUUUUAUUUUGUUGCCUUUUGAUUUCAAAGUAGCUUUGGUGUUCUUUACUCCAUUAAAGGUGUAUCAUCCGGUGGGGGUUCAUGAGUUUGUGAGAAACUUGAAAGAGAGUUAGAACCCUGUAUUUAAAAUUCGUAAAUCUUUGUAAGUAUUUCUUGAUUUUUCUUCACCCUUAUUUCAAUUAAUCUACAAGAUUAACUUUUUUUUUCUCAUUUGAAGUAGAGGCGGAGAAAUCUAGGUUAGCUUCUUCAUCUUGAUAUCUUGGUUGGAUACAAGAAUAUAAAAGGCAGAUCUAGUUCCUGAAAUCAAGUGUUUUGCUGGUGACUGUAUCACUUUUUGUUUUUGGCUGACAUAUUAGGUUAGUUUUCUCACAAUUAUAUUUCCCUUGAAAUGGCCAUAAACUAUUUAGUAAAUAUAAUGGAUGUGAGACUCUGUGUCUUUCCAUUUGUUUAAAGGUUGCUGAUGUUGUUUAUACUUCUUGAUUUUAUUUUAAUUGUUGGUAUGUGAUAUUUAUUCAUGUCCAAGAUUUUCUUUCCCAUGAUUGGUAUUUUACUAAAAUUAUGAAAUUAUUGUGUUUUACCAUUUUUAUCGUAGUGUUUGUUAUGAAAUCCACAACUAAGUGAAGAGUUUUUCUGAAUAUGCGUCUUAUUUGAAUGUUUCGUUGACCCAUAAUCUCAAGUAAGUUUUCCAUCCUCUCUUCUAACUCCCAAGAUAUUCUUCGAAUCCCUCCUUAUCAUAGUCUGUGACUGAGAGAAUCUUUCUCUAGAUUGAUUUGGUGAAAUCCUUGGUUUAGGCAAUAUAUAAAGCCUUUUUAAAUUGUUGUCCUCUUAUUACAUGUUUGUAGUCAUUUUUAUGCUUUGUGCCUCAACAUAAAUUAGAUCGCUAUUAUUGUAUCUUAUAAAAAAAAUUAUAUGAUCUUUGACUCGUGUUUUCUUUGUUGGCUCUACUUGUGCUACAUUUACUCAUCCUAUUUUUGAAAAACUCCACUACAUUGUGGGAUAGUUAAGUGUAGGUUCAUAACUUUGAAGCAAAUCAAUCACAAUAUUUUUAGGAAAAUGAAUUUCUCUAAGCCAUGAAAAUUAAAUCUUCUUAUUUUGAUUGCAACUAUUGAAGGAGUGUUAUCAUGAUUAGAAAAAAUUCUUUGACUUGUUAACCAUCUAACGAGAGAUAUUUUCAGGGACUUUCAACACCUUCAUCAUCUUAAUUAUUGAUACUCUAUCUCUAGAGUCGAAGAGAAUAACUUCAAUAUCAUAUGAUAGAUGAUUAAUCUCUAGGAUCAACUUUCGUAAUUCAUAUUUUUGGAAUUUUCAUUCCUCUGUAAACUGUCAAGUCAUUUAGAUAAAACUUUUUGCAAACUUGCAAUAGCGAAUAAAGUUGGGAAAGGAGGGUCUUCUUGUUUCAAGACACAGAAGAUUAGGAAAAAAGUCAUGAAAUUGAUCAUUAAUCAGCAUAGACUGCCAAUUAUUAGACACAAGUCUCAGGACCAUAUCAAUAAUAAUUUUAGAGAAACCAGACUUCCUUAGGACCUUAGUUAAGAAAAUCUAGGUGAUCAUAUCAUAUGUCUUAGUCAUGUCCAACUUUACCCCCUACAUUAUCAUUCUUAUAACUCAUGUUUAUAUAUUUGAUAACUUCUAGGGUUUCUUCAAGAAAAUAUUUUUACCAUUCAAAAAGACAUCACGCAUCAAGUAAAAUUAGAUAUGAUUUGAAAUGUCCGCUUCUCUUAUGAUAUUAUUUAACUUUAUUAGGGAUUCACCAGACCUUUUCUCUAAUUGUUUGAAUAGUCAUCAACAUUUAUGUUCCCUAGCUUGAGAAUGAAUUUCUUUUUAGGUAGAGAUGAAAUUUAAGAACUUCAUUAUUAAAUUUCACAUCAUUAGUUUUGAUUUUGAAGAUAAAAGUUUAGUUUAAAAAGAAGCUAUAGUACUUUAAUGUUUCAUUAACUCAUAACAAUAAAUUCAAAAAACUUUCCGAGAAGCUCUUCACAUUAAAUGAUUGAAAUAUUUCAGAUUUAAGGGUUUUCACUUUUAUUGAUCUUUAUGUUGACCUAUUGAUUUGACACAAUACCAGGUAAGUUUUGAAUUGUUACCAACAAAUACAGUUGAAACACCAUUAUGACAAAAAUUAAGUGAUGUUUUUAAAUGCUACCAAAAUUGACCCAUAUUAUAAAUGGCAUGUACAUAUUAUAUCACACUUCAAACAAUCCCUACCCUAGACACUAAAGAACAACCCUUGGAAUUGCGGCAGAUCUCUCUUCUUCUCCAUCCUUUCCCCACCAACACUCACUGUCCAACCAACUAAUCCUUGUCUGUCACCAUGGAAGUUAAGGUAUAUAUAUGUUUUUAGACUAAUAACUAUUCUUGUUUAUGUACUCAUGGAAUUGAUCGUCUAUGAGUUUGUGAUAGAUGAUCAACUCCUUGAGUACAUACCAAAGAAACAAGUUAAUAAAAGAUUAGUAAUUAAUCAAAGAACAUAUAUAUCCCUAGGCUUCCAUGGUGACUGAGGAGGAAAAGGUGGUUGGACAAUGAGGAUGUAGAAGAAGGGAGAUCCGUUGCAUAGUGCCUAGGGUUAAGGGAUUGUUUUACAGUGUGACAUGCCAUUUAUAAUAUGGGUCAUUUUUGGUAGCAUUUUAAAACAUCGCUCCAUUUUGGUAACAAUGGUGUUUCAACUGUAUUUGAUGGUAAUUAAUUCAAAAACUUACACGGUAUUGUGUCAAAUCGAUAGAUCAACAAAAAGAGCAGAUUAAAGAGUAAAUAAAAGUGUGAAUACAAAACAUGUGGUGCAAACUCUAUAGGAGUAAUUUGAUUAGCAAAUGCAAUGAGUGCGGCAUGGUACUUGACAGCCAUGUAUGCAGUAAGCUGCUCAGAUGUGAUUUUCUUGAAGUUAAAUCAUAGGUUGAGAAUUAUAUUUAGAUAAUGUUUGAAUGAUAGUUCUCCGUUAUACUUUCUUAUGCCACUGUGAAUUUUUGUUUGCCUGUUAAUUCUAUAUUUUUGAGCUCACUGUUGGUCUUCUUCUUUGCCCCCAUUUGGUUGAUAUUGCCCUUUUUAUUUGUUGUUUAUUAGCUAGGAAGAAUUGUUAAUUGCGCAUGCUUCAUUCCAACUUCCAUUCGUUAGCUUCUUUCUUCAUGAUUAUCAUCCUAUGUGACGUGUGUAUGUCUUCGUUAUUAGAUUGUAUUUCUUUUUCUAACUCUCUUCCAUUUGUUGUUGCAUGUGAAACUCCUCUCGAGUCUGUUUUGGGACUCCAUUUUCCUCCUUGCAUCCGAAGGCUUAAACCAUUAUAUACGAGUCUUCCAGCCCCUCUAAAUGGCGCACAGGUCGAAAAGAAGCAUCUUGUCUGCUCAAAAUUAAUUUUUCAGCCCCCGGAAAGCCAAAAAAAAAAACAGGCUGAUAUACCGCUAUAUACACUAAUAUACAUUCGUAAAGUAUGAUACGCAGGUUCAAAAAUCUGUACAGGUGCUUCAGAAUCUAAAUUGGAGUUUGUAUGUCGAAUAUACAGUCUGAUAUACAAUAAAAAGUACCGAAUACAUCCCCAUAUAUAGUGGUAUACGCAACACGUAUACACAGGUUUUUUUUAAAGGAAAAAUGGGGCCAAAGCCCAAAGAAAUCUGCAGCAGGCCCAAUUUUCUUUCUGUCGUUUUAAAAUGGGAAAUUUUUUAAAAUGUCAAUAUUUUAACAUUUAAGAGGGCUCAUUAACAAUACUUUUAAUAUUUAGUAAAAAUAUCAAAAUUUUAAUUUUUACGUGUAUUAUUUAUGUUUUUAUUAUUUGUUUUUAUUUAAAAAAUAGAAUUAUUUAAUAACGGAGAAAAUCAAGGGAGAGAAUAUUUAAAAAAAAAGGUAAACAUCACUUAAUUUUCUCAUCAGUUACAUUUUCAAAUAAAUCUCAAACUUUGUUCUUUUUUUUUCUCCAUAAUUUUAAUCUUUUUUUUUAUUAGUUUGUAUUCAUUCCAAUAGGUAUGCCAAAUGAAUCUAUAGCUAUUUAAGAAAUAUUCAUAUACUUUUCAUGUGUAUUUAUUUGUUUCUUCGAAAAUUUUGUAUUCAUAUUCAUUUCAAUAUAUUUUUUUAUUCGUAUUUCUAUUUAUUCUCUAGCUUUAUUUAGAAUAUUGUAUAAAUAUAUAUAAAAUACAAAAAAGUAGUAUGAUGAAAAAAUGAGAUAAUAGUUUUUAGAGAAGGAACAUAUCACUUCAAAAUUCUCAUCAUUAACAAUUUAAAAAAAAAACUCCUUUUUCAUUCUAUUAGAUCAACUUUCCUUUGUUAUGUUUUCAUUUUAAUUGUAUACCAAUAUUUUUUACAUUUUAUGUUCUCACUUUACCAUUCAAACUAAAAUUGAUUUUUUUUCUCUUUCAAACUGCAAAUUGUAUUUCGGUGCUCAAAAUUGUAUUACUUGAUUACCAUAUAUAUAUAUAUAUAUAUAUAUAUAUAUAUAUAUAUAUAUAUAUAUAUAUAUAUAUACACACACGUAUCUCAAUAUGUAUGAAUAUCAUUUAUGAAAGGGUACAAGAUUUUUGGAGGGAAAUAGCAUAUUUGGUGGAAAUAAUAAAUUUAUUGAGGAAGGAUAUAAUAUUCUAAAAAAAUGAAUGCUAAUUGACUAUGAAAGAAAUGAGAUUAUAAAAUUCUGGAAAACAUAUAGCAUACAUAGUAAAAUAAUAUAUUCAGUAUACAAUAUUCUAAAAAAAAAUAUAAAUUAACUAUUGAAAACCAGGAUACAUAUAUGUUUAAGAAAUACAAAUUCAUAUGAGAUAGCAUACAUAGUGAAAAUGAUAUAAUCAGAAUACAAUAUUAAAAAAAAUAUAUAAAUUUGACUGUUAAAAAAUAGGAUACAUCUAUCUUAAGAAAUACAAAUUCAAAUGAGAUACGUAUUUGAAUGACUACAAAUAAAAAAGAAAUACAAAUUCAUAUGAGAUACGUAUUUGAAUGACUACAAAUAAAAAAGAAAUACAAUGUUCUUAAUAAAAAUACAAAUGAUGAGUAAAAAAAAUAAUUGACAAACAAAAAUUAAUAUGAAUAUUAUUCUGAUAUGAAUACAAUUUCGCAACCUUCUUCUUUGACUCUCUCUUUCUUCUUCGUCUGCUAUGAUCCUUUUUUCCAAUUCUUUUCACCAAAUUCAAAUCUGAAUCUGUGUUUAUUUGUGAAUUAAAAACCCUAUAAGCAAAAUUCGAAAUUAUUAAAUAUGAAUAUAUAAAAAAAUCAAACAAUAUAUUAUGUAUGAAUGCUUAUGUGCCUUACUACAAAUUACAAUCUACUAAAUCUCAAAUAUGAAAAUAAAAUCAUAAAAAUAGUGUCUCAAAUACUAAAAUUCUGAAAUGCAUAAAUAUUUGAUGAGUAUGUUAACAAACUCAUAUAAAAAUGAUGAAAAAAUUAUAAUAUAUACAAUCCAAAAUUCAACAUAAUUUUUUAUUUCGAAGACAAAAUCUUAUGAAAUCUCGCAAAAUAAAAGAUGAUUACAAAAAUACCUUUAUGUAUUGAGAGAUUUUUUGAAUUAAUCGAUAGAUCUGAACAAAUUGAUAUGAACUUGAAUAAUUAGUUCUUCAACAAUGAGAGAAAAUAAUGGUGAAAAUGAUAAAAGAGAAAAAAAAUUAAAAAAUCUUAAAGAUGAAAAUAAAUUUAAUGGUAUUGAAGUCUAGAUGAAGUCUAGAUGAAGUCUAAAUGGGUAGUAAAUAUAUUUAAUUUUGGACUGUUUUGAGAAAUAAAAGGAAAGACAAAUAAUAGUAUUUGGAUACAAAUUAUUUUCAAAAUAUUGACAUUUUGACUAAAUAUUUUAAAGUGUAGAUGUUUUACUAAUUAAGUUAUGAAUUGUGACUACUUUACUAAUUUUUAUUUUUUUUUACCAGAUAGGGGAGUAAAAAUUAGUUCAAUAUGGGGUAGAUUUGAGAAAUAAAAGGAAAAUAAAAUUAAUUAUAUUAGGAUACAUUUUAUUUCUAAAAAAUUGACAUAUUGACAUUUUUAAUAAUUCGUUUAAAGUGUAGAUAUUUUUUGUAAUUAUGUUAGAGAUUGUGACCAAUUACUAAUUUCUUUUUUUAAAAAAAUAAAUUAUCAAAUUUUGUCGUGGGCUCUAUUAUUUAUUAAUUAAAUAAAUUCUAGUGGGCUCAAAAAAUGAGUCCAUGAAAGCGUAAAAAUAAUAAAGCAAAAGAAAACUUACAAUUGAGCUGUCCCAAAAGUGACGGAGUUCAGCUAUAUAAUAACAAGACCCUAAAUAAUAGGGUUUCAUAAUUUAACCCCAAUCCUUUUCAUCUUCUUCUCGCCGCCACCGAGGAUGUGUCCGUUGGUUUUUCAAAUAUUGGUCUCUUUUUCCUUCUUUUAUCGGUGAUAAAAAGAUUCUUCAUAGUCGAUAGAUAUGUUGUUUCUUGCUCAGAAAAUCAACGGUAAAUUUCUUUUUUUGUUUUUUGUUGCCUUUUGAUUUUAAAGUAGUUUUAGUGUUGCUUACUUCAUUGAAGGUGUACCAUUCGGUGGAGGUCCAUAAGUUUGUAAGAAACUCAAAAGAGAGUUAGAACCUUAUAUUCCAACUUUGUAGAUCGAUGUAAGUAUUUGUAAUUUUUCUUUACCCUUAUUUCAAUUGAUCUACAAGAUAACCCCUUUUGUUUUGACAGUUGAAGUAGAGGCGGAGAAACCCAGGUUGUUCCCAAGCUUCUUUUUCUUGAUAUCUUGGCUGUGGAUGCAAGAACAUAAAAUGCAAAUCUAGUUCCUUAAAUCAAGCUUUUUACUGGUGAUUGUAUCACUUUUUGUUGGCUGACAUCUUAGGUUAGUUUUCUCACAAUAAUUUUCCCUUGAAAUGGCCAUAAAUUAUUCGGUGAAUAUAAUGAAUGUGAGCAGUGACGGACUUAGGAUUUUCUUUGAGGAGGUUCGGAAAAUAAAAGAUAAACAUGUAACUAAAAAAUACUGAAACCAAAAAAUGUAAAAAAUAAAAAGCCAAUCCAAGGAUUCAAACCCUGGACAUCGCGCAUAUCUUUGAGCUCAGCUACCGCUAGGCUAUCUCAGCCAUUUGUGAUUUAGGGUGUUCAAAAUAUUUAUAUCCACACAAAUCAUGAAAAUUCACCUUAGGUAUACGACAUAGUUUUUUUUAGAGAGUGUACGGGUGAACACCCUGGACGGCACGUGGGUCCGCUCCUGGAUGUGAGACUUAGUAACUUUCCAUUUGUUUCUAUACAUGCUUAAAAGUUGUUGAUGUUGUUUAUUCUUCUUGCUUUGAUUUUAAUAGUUGGUAUGUAUUUUUUUAUUAAUGUUUAUGCUUUCCUUUUCCACGCGUGGUAAUUGAUUAAAAUUAUGAAAUAAUUGUGCUCCAUCAUUUUUAUUAUAGUGUUUGUUAUGAAGUCCACUACUAAGUUAUUAGGUUCUCUGAAAAUGCAUCUUAUUUGAAUGUUUUGUUGAUCCAUAUUCUCAAGUAAGUUUUCCAUCCUCUCUACUAACUCCCAGGGUAUUCUCCGAAUCCCUCCUAAUCAUAUUCUGUGACUUAAAGAAUUUGUCUCAAGAUUGGUUUGGUGAAAUCCUUGGUUUAGGCAAUAUUAUAAAAGCCUUUUCAAAAUGUUUUCAACUCUGAUUGCAUGUUUGUACCCAUUUUUGUGCUUUGUGCCACAAUAUAAAUGAGAUCUACAUUAUUGUAUCUUACAAAAAGAUAAUAUGAUCUUCAACUCACGUUUUCUUUGUUGGCACUAAUUAUACUACAUUUAAUUCAUCCUAUUUUUCAUAAACUCCACUACGCUGUGGAAUAGUUAAGUUUAGGUUCAUAACUUUGAAGCAAA
rnacentral:lncRNA from 1 species